CCAGGCUGCUGAACCCCGACCGCGUGGCGUUACGACAGUACAAGCACUCGCCUUGUCACCUAUCGAUUCCCUUUCCCCUUCCUCCCUUCUCCUCCCCUCCUGAAUUGUCGAAACCCUAGCUCGCUUUCGCCGCCCAUCCCCUGGCCGUCGCCAUGGGUAAGAAGCGGAAGCUCGAGCCAAAAACCACCAUGGCAGCUAAGUCUGCCGCCGCUAAGGUCGCAGCUGCCACUAAGAUCGCCGAGCCGGUCGCCCCUUCCCCUCAGCCCGAAACCCUAGCGGAGUACUACGCGCCCCCCACCCAGACCAUACCGCAGGUGAGCGGCUCCACCGCUGUGGCCGCGGAGGAGAUGCCGCCCCAGGAGUUGGGUGGUGAGGAGGACGAGUGGGAGGAGGUAGAGGAGGAGGUAGAGGAGGAGGAAGAGGAGGAGCAGGCGGAGGAGGUUGAGGAGGGCGAGAGCGACCCCGCCUCGAUCCAGUCUCUGCUUGAGUCAUUCCCCAAGGAGCAACUCGUCGAGCUGCUCCGCGACGCCGCCGUCGGCCACGGCGACGUCCUCGAGACCGUCCGCCGCGCGGCCGACGCGGAUCCGGCCCAGAGGAAGAUUUUCGUCCACGGCCUCGGCUGGGACACAACCGUCGAUACCCUCAGGGAGGCCUUCAGCUCCUACGGCGAGAUCGAGGACCUCAAGCUCGUCUCCGACCGUAACACGGGCAAGUGCAAGGGCUACGGAUUCAUCCUCUUCAGCCGCCGGUCCGGGGCCCGCGCGGCCCUGCAGGAGCCCCAGAAGAAGAUAGGCAACCGCACCACAUCCUGCCAGCUCGCUUCCGUCGGCCCUGUCCCAGCUGGCGGUGGGGCCAGUUACCCUGGACUGGCUACAUCUCCAGCUCCAGCUCCAGCGGCGUUGAUACUGCCACCAGUGUCUGAGUACACACAGCGGAAGAUUUUUGUCAGCAAUGUUGGUGCAGAUAUUGACCCGCAGAAACUGGUGCAGUUCUUCUCAAAGUAUGGUGAGAUUGAGGAGGGUCCAUUGGGACUUGAUAAGGCAACUGGGAAGCCCAAAGGUUUUGCUCUGUUUGUGUACAAGACCCUCGAGGGUGCCAGGAAGGCGCUCCAGGAGCCACACAAGUCAUUUGAGGGUGUUAUGCUUCACUGCCAGAAGGCAAUCGACGGACCAAAGCCCAACAAAGGAGGAGGAUAUGGUGCCGCUACUACAAGUGGGAGGAAGGGCGCUGCUGGUUAUGGUGCUAGUUCCCAUUCUCUGCAUGGCAGUGUCAGUGCUGGUUAUGGGAUGGCACCUCCAGCAUCCAGCUUGGCUCCCCUGCCUGUUGGUGGCCCUGGAAUGAAUCCUGCAUUAGGGCAGGCCUUGACAGCUUUCCUGGCCACCCAAGGGGCAGGAUUGGGUCUGAACAACAUCCUUGGAGUUGCUCCGAAUAGUUCAGGGGUGCCUAGCCCUGGGUCUUCUGGAGCUCUUGGUGGUGGUGGUGGUGGUGUUCCUGGGAUGCCAGGGGGUUAUAUGGGUGGCUAUGGGGGUGGUGGUGGUGGGUAUGGUGGUCCGACAGGAGGCCCAGGAAGAAAUUACAUGGGUCAUUAGCAAGCUAGUUUGAAAGGGUGUCUAUGCAGCAAGGCGAAGGGAAGUGGAGAUGGAAGCAGUAGUGCUGUUGGAACUUGGAAGGGCCAAAACAAAGGUGUGCUUGCAUGGAACAGACGAGGGAAAGAGGGAGCGGGGCUGGCCCUCCUUGUGGUUCCUGGAUUUCUUCUAUCUCUCACUUUAUUACAGUCAUUCCUAAGGUUUCCUCUUCAUGUCAUUGGGAAUUGGGAAUUCCCUCACUGGUGGUAACUCUAAGGGUAAUGGCCCCAGCUGUGGCAAAGGAGGAUAAGAAGCGGAAAGAAGGUGUGGAGGCAGAGGGAAUAAAACAGCAGGAGGAAAACAGCGAGGUGCACGUUGCUACUAGGAAUGGGCUAAUGCUGCAAAAGCAUCAGUAAGUUGUCAUGAGCUUGUCCAGAACUCCAGAUCCGAAGAAAUCAGUCGAAGGACAUUUUUCCUGUCCGAUACGCUACAAACUGAUGUCUGGGGGGUCUGCACUUUUUCCCAAUUCAACAAGCUGGCGCCCUUCCCACCAGAUGUAUCAUGCACCCGCCAAAGCCAGUACUUGCAGUCCGCAUUGCACAACCGCCGGGUGAGAUCGCUAGUCCAAGCAUGGAAAAACUCCAGCACUGCUUGACACGCCCUGUCAACCUUACACGCACCCCUGAUGACAUCGACAAGAAUGAUAGCUCGGCAGCCGCCUCGGCUCUUGCACAGUUAAACAUGUUUCAUAUCUUCCGGUAGAUUAAGUCUAUGUAACAACUUCUCAGCUCGACUUGAGUACUCCGUAGUUCAGUUUCCACCGAUAUUUUACUGAUUCUUGUAUAAAUCCCCAUGCUUGGCCAGAGCCACAUCUUGAUGUGCUAGUACACUUAUGACAACAGCGUAUAACUACCAACAGUAUUUUUUCUGUCA